CCUACGGUGGGCAGCAGUAGGGAAUGUUGCGCAAUGGGCGAAAGCCUGACGCAGGAACGCCGCGUGAUCGAGACGCACUUCGGGGUGUAAAGAUCUGUUAGUGGGGACGAAACGGGACGGUACCCACAGAGGAAGCACCGGCUAACGCCGUGCCAGCAGCCGCGGUAAUACGGGGGGUGCAAGCGUUGUCCGGAAUCAUUGGGCGUAAAGAGGUCGUAGGCGGCACGUAAAGUCUGGUGUUAAAGGCAGAGGCUCAACUUCUGUACGGCACUGGAUACUUGCGAGCUAGAAUGCGGUAGAGGUAACGGGAAUUCCUGGUGUAGCGGUGAAAUGCUUAGAUAUCAGGAGGAACAUCGGUGGCGUACGCGCUUUACUGGGCCGUACUUGACGCUGAGGAACGAAAGCCCGGGUAGCAAAUGGGAUUAGAUACCCCUGUAGUC
rnacentral:rRNA from 1 species